UGAAAGGUCAGUUCCCUUACGAUCACCGAAAUUAAGCAACGUCGAGACUGGUCAGCACUUAGAUGGGUGACCACUUAGGAACACCAGGUCAGCUGUAA